rnacentral:rRNA from 1 species
GAUCAUGGCUCAGAUUGAACGCUGGCGGAAUGCUUUACACAUGCAAGUCGAACGGCAGCACGGACUUCGGUCUGGUGGCGAGUGGCGAACGGGUGAGUAAUAUAUCGGAACGUGCCCAAUCGUGGGGGAUAACGUAGCGAAAGUUACGCUAAUACCGCAUACGAUCUACGGAUGAAAGCGGGGGAUCGCAAGACCUCGCGCGAUUGGAGCGGCCGAUAUCAGAUUAGGUAGUUGGUGGGGUAAAGGCUCACCAAGCCAACGAUCUGUAGCUGGUCUGAGAGGACGACCAGCCACACUGGAACUGAGACACGGUCCAGACUCCUACGGGAGGCAGCAGUGGGGAAUUUUGGACAAUGGACGCAAGUCUGAUCCAGCCAUUCCGCGUGCAGGAUGAAGGCCCUCGGGUUGUAAACUGCUUUUGUACGGAACGAAAAGGUUUCUAUUAAUACUAGGAGCUCAUGACGGUACCGUAAGAAUAAGCACCGGCUAACUACGUG